rnacentral:rRNA from 1 species
AUCUACAAUCAUAAGCGGAGGAAAAGAAACUACCAAGGAUUCCCCUAGUAACUAGGCGAGUGAAGCGGGAAAAGCUCAAAUUUAAAAUCGGAUAGGCCUUGGCCCUUCGAGUUGUAAUUUAGAGAAGCGUAUUCCGCGCUGGACCGUGCACAAGUCUCCUGGAAUGGAGCGUCAUAGAGGGUGAGAAUCCCGUCUUUGGCACGGACGCACCAGGGCUUUUGUGAUGCGCUCUCGAAGAGUCGAGUUGUUUGGGAAUGCAGCUCAAAAUGGGUGGUGAACUCCAUCUAAAGCUAAAUAUUGGCGAGAGACCGAUAGCGAACAAGUACCGUGAGGGAAAGAUGAAAAGCACUUUGGAAAGAGAGUGAAACAGUACGUGAAAUUGUUGAAAGGGAAACGCUUGAAGUCAGUCGCGUCGACCGAGACUCAGCCUCGCCUCGGCUUGGUGUACUUUUCGGUUGACGGGUCAGCAUCAAUUUUGCCCCUUGGAUAAUGGCAAGGGAAAUGUGACACCUUUGCGGGUGUGUUAUAGUCUCUCGUCGCAUGCAAGGGUCGGGAUUGAGGAACUCAGCACGCGCCUUUGGGCGUCGGGGCUUUGCCCACGAUACGUGCUUAGGAUGUUGGCGUAAUGGCUUUAAACGACCCGUCUUGAAACACGGACCAAGGAGUCUAACAUGCCCGCGAGUGUUCGGGUGGAAAACCCGUGCGCGCAAUGAAAGUGAAAGUUGGGACCUCUGUCGUGGAGGGCACCGACGCCCGGACCAGACCUUCUGUGACGGAUCUGCGGUGGAGCGUGUAUGUUAGGACCCGAAAGAUGGUGAACUAUGCCUGAAUAGGGUGAAGCCAGAGGAAACUCUGGUGGAGGCUCGUAGCGAUUCUGACGUGCAAAUCGAUCGUCAAAUUUGGGUAUAGGGGCGAAAGACUAAUCGAACCAUCUAGUAGCUGGUCCUGCAUAACCC